CCCUACACUGCACCGAUUUCAACAGAAAUUUCGUGAACACUACUGACCGGCUCACGAAAAGGUUCUUACAUUUUACAAAAAAAGGUUAUGCUUUUAAUCCUGUUGAAUGUUGCUAACCUCCCCAUAUCUAAAGGUAAAACACGUUGCUCUCAUACAGUCUCUCUGAAACAGUCCGUGGGAUGGGAAACUAUAUUUCUGUGUCCGCCGAGAAAUAGAAACUAAUAUAGAAAACAAAAAUGCAUGGCCAUUUCAUCGACGGCAGACUAUACGAACCAUCUGGAGGUUGUCUCAACACCUGAGGCGAGCCAGAGCCGGGCACGAUGGUUGCAGCGGACUGUGACAACCUAAAGUGACAAGGAUGGGUGCUAAACUCCGCGAACGAGGCUGCGCGCUUCCAUGCUCCACAUGCACGCCAUACAAGGACCCUAGUGAGAUUUCUUCCCUUUGCUUUUUCUUUGCUUCUCUUUUCUGUUCGUUUAAUCCCCGUGGUUCUUAAUGCCAUGAAAAAUUUGUGUUGCACACGACGCGAAAGCAAGGAAAAUGGACAAACUUGCAUUUGAGGUCCAUGGGUGUUCCUGCAUAUUGCUCAAAACGGAAAUUAUAGAGCCUCGUUGGCCAGAACCGCUGAAAACCCCUAACCGCCGUAUCAAAGGAGCUUCACGGGCCUCACCAAUUUAUGGACAAGUUCCGAUGCAAAUGUGGAUGUAACCAGAUCCCGGUUAUAUUUAGAAGUUAGAGCAAAAGCUUCGAAAUAAUGAACACCUAAUGUCUCAUGGGCCAUAUGAAGCCGCUAUUUUUCCUUCUUCUUUCCUUUAAACAAGAAGCUAAGGUUUUAUUUCGCGUUCCUUGAAACGCGCUUAUGAUAUGCAAAAAAACAUCAAAAAAAAAUCAAAAAUCAAAAAUCAAUGGCAUCCACCAGGCUUAGUGGGGAGGGGGGCCCGGGCCGUGCAUGCAGCUUCGGCAACGACCUUUCACAAUGGCCUUGACGGAUAGCUAAGAGGAAAUUAUGGAGC
rnacentral:sRNA from 2 species